rnacentral:tRNA from 1 species
AAAAAAUUAGUUAAAAUAUAACAUUAGCUUGUCAAGCUAAAAUUAUUAAUCCUUUAAUAUUUUUUG